rnacentral:piRNA from 1 species
UCCUCCUCGUCACUUACGAAAACCAUAAGUC